rnacentral:rRNA from 1 species
AUUGAACGCUGGCGGAAUGCUUUACACAUGCAAGUCGAACGGUAGAGGGGGCAACCCCUUGAGAGUGGCGAACGGGUGAGUAAUAUAUCGGAACGUGCCCAGUCGUGGGGGAUAACGUAGCGAAAGUUACGCUAAUACCGCAUACGAUCUAAGGAUGAAAGCGGGGGAUCGCAAGACCUCGCGCGAUUGGAGCGGCCGAUAUCAGAUUAGGUAGUUGGUGGGGUAAAGGCUCACCAAGCCAACGAUCUGUAGCUGGUCUGAGAGGACGACCAGCCACACUGGAACUGAGACACGGUCCAGACUCCUACGGGAGGCAGCAGUGGGGAAUUUUGGACAAUGGACGCAAGUCUGAUCCAGCCAUUCCGCGUGCAGGAUGAAGGCCCUCGGGUUGUAAACUGCUUUUGUACGGAACGAAAAGGUUUCUCUAAUACGAGGAGCUCAUGACGGUACCGUAAGAACAAGCACCGGACUAACUACGUGCAGCAGCCGCGGUAAAGUGAC